GAUGAACGCUGGCGGCGUGCUUAACACAUGCAAGUCGAACGAAGCAAUUUAACGGAAGUUUUCGGAUGGAAGUUAAAUUGACUGAGUGGCGGACGGGUGAGUAACGCGUGGGUAACCUGCCUCAUACAGGGGGAUAACAGUUAGAAAUGACUGCUAAUACCGCAUAAGCGCACAGGAUCGCAUGGUCUGGUGUGAAAAACUCCGGUGGUAUGAGAUGGACCCGCGUCUGAUUAGCUAGUUGGUGGGGUAACGGCCUACCAAGGCGACGAUCAGUAGCCGACCUUGGAGGGUGACCGGCCACAUUGGGACUGAGACACGGCCCAAACUCCUACGGGAGGCAGCAGUGGGGAAUAUUGCACAAUGGGCGAAAGCCUGAUGCAGCGACGCCGCGUGAGCGAAGAAGUAUUUCGGUAUGUAAAGCUCUAUCAGCAGGGAAGAAAAAUGACGGUACCUGACUAAGAAGCACCGGCUAAAUACGUGCCAGCCGCCGCAGUAAUAC
rnacentral:rRNA from 1 species